rnacentral:rRNA from 1 species
CCUACGGGCGGCAGCAGUGGGGAAUAUUGCACAAUGGGGGAAACCCUGAUGCAGCGACUCCGCGUGAGUGAAGAAGUAUUUCGGUAUGUAAAGCUCUAUCAGCAGGGAAGACAAUGAAGGUACAUGAUUAAGAAGCCCCGGCUAACUACGUGCCAGCAGCCGCGGUAAUACGUAGGGGGCAAGCGUUAUCCGGAUUUACUGGGUGGAAAGGGAGCGUAGACGGCAGCACAAGUCUGGAGUGAAAUGGCGGGGCUUAACCCCGGAACUGCUUUGGAAACUGUGCAGCUAGAGUGCAGGAGAGGUAAGUGGAAUUCCUAGUGUAGCGGUGAAAUGCGUAGAUAUUAGGAGGAACACCAGUGGCGAAGGCGGCUUACUGGACUGUAACUGACGUUGAGGCUCGAAAGCGUGGGGAGCAAACAGGAUUAGAUACCCUUGUAGUC